UACGGGGGGGGCAAGCGUUGUUCGGAAUUACUGGGCGUAAAGGGCUCGUAGGCGGCCAAUUAAGUCGGACGUGAAAUCCCUCGGCUUAACCGGGGAACUGCGUCCGAUACUGGAUGGCUUGAGUUCGGGAGAGGGAUGCGGAAUUCCAGGUGUAGCGGUGAAAUGCGUAGAUAUCUGGAGGAACACCGGUGGCGAAAGCGGCAUCCUGGACCGACACUGACGCUGAGGAGCGAAAGCCAGGGGAGCAAACGGG
rnacentral:rRNA from 1 species